rnacentral:rRNA from 1 species
CCCUUAGAUGUUCUGGGCCGCACGCGCGCUACACUGAACAGUUCAACAAGUCUUAACCUUGGCCGAUAGGUCUGGGUAAUCUUUGAACGCUGUUCGUGAUUGGGAUAGACCUUUGCAAUUAUGGGUCUUCAACGAGGAAUUCCUAGUAAACGCAAGUCAUCAGCUUGCAUUGAUUACGUCCCUGCCCUUUGUACACACCGCCCGUCGCACCUACCGAUUGAAUGGUCCGGUGAAAUCUCGGGACGGCGGCUUGGUCGCUCGCGUCCGACUGCUGAAACUUGAUUAAACCAUAUCAUUUAGAGGAAGGUGAAGUCGUAACA